GGAGACCAAGGGGCCACCUCUGGUGAGGCACUCCGUGGUUAGCACUCGGAUUGGGGAGUUCAAUCCUCCUUGGCUCCACCA
rnacentral:tRNA from 1 species